CCGCCGCCGCCCGCCCUCAGGAACGGCUUCCAGGAGCCGUGCGACGAUGAGUGGGAAAGCAGAUUUUCUUUCCAUCCUAUAUCUGACUUGCCACCUCCAGAGCCAUAUGUACCUGUGAACAAAAGUUAUCCAAGUAAACUAGCAAGAAAUGAAAGCAGAGGUGGCUCUGGCCGAAAAGAGAGAGGUGCGCCCCCUCUUCCACCUAUACCAAGGUGAAAUGGGUUCUGGACCCUCCCUGGGCAGCUUCUGUUUUAAAGUUUCCUUCGAGUCAGUUCUCCUGUCCACAUCAUCGGAAAGUAGUCUGUCUUGCUUUAUUUCUGCUUUUGACUUGUCAGCUGGAAUAAACUUCAGUCUCUAUUACGGAAGUAAUAGGUGCAGCUUAUGAACUAUAGUUGCUUAAAGCUAUCAAUUUUAUUUGCUUAUAUUGCAGGCUGUCAUGAAAAGCAUUUGGUGGCCCAUGUACAACAUACGUACAUCAUGCGUAUGGGGUCGAGCCCUGUCCUCUUGAAUGACAUAGGAGAUCUGCCUUUGAAUUUAAUGACGGCUGGAACAAAGCUGUCUCAUUAAUUUGGGGUACAGUGGCUGUGUUAUUUGAAUGAUAAAGUACAAUCUAUUUUCCUUUUAAAAAACAAUUACCAGAGAAUACUGCAUAGCCAAGAGUUCCAUGGAUCCUUCUUUGCGUCCUUAACUUGGCCCAAGCGCUUCUGCAAGCCACCAUCCUACUACGUGGUGACCAAGACGUCAACCUACAUCUUUGCGCCUCAGCUUAGCCAAGCAAACCAUAUUUUAAAACAUCGAUGGCUCAUCCUGCCCCGGGGAUGGAGUGUCCUCUGUGGAGGAUCUUCCAAAGAAAAGCACAAAUUAAGAAUUCAGCAGCAUAAAAAUAUCUUCUCCAUGCGUCCCACCUUGUUUUGUAAUAGCCUUAUGCUUUUAGUCACCUAAUUCUUUCCUACUUUGAUGUGGACCAACCCACAGCCAGCCGGGGCCUGGAUUACUGUAAUCCUCUCUACGUGAGACUACAUGCAAAGUUUCCUCGGAAAGCAGUCUUAGUGCAAAUGCAGCAAUUAUUGUAGUUACAAACUCUUUCUGUGAAGCAUCACUAACAUCAGUGCUCCGCAGAUUGCAUAAGCUCUCCAGUUGUUUCUUUGGUACAAUUAAGUCACAGGGUUUUUUACUUAAAAAAGCUUCUUGGGGCUUAGCUCACAAGUCUCAGAGAGGCUGUAUUUGACCUAUAUUAUAGCAGAGCAGCUGAGGUCAAAAAACGUGCAUAAAUGAAAGCUGUUUGAUUUAGUGAAGGAGGUCUGGGGUUAGUGUAUACUAAUGGGAUCAUCAGCUCCAAAAAUUGCUGUCUUCGCUCAUUCGGGAGAAAUGGAAAGGUUUGGCCUUCUGAGUUUGCCAUGAAGCCUGUACUUCAACUUAUGCCGAAAGGAAUCUCAGCAGAGAGCUGCUGGUCUUACAUUAAUAGAAGAAAGAGUAAAGUAUUCUCAUGUUGUGACAGUUGGUUGAUUUGUUUAAAAGCUCUUGAAUUUUGUAUUUGAAAAAAGAGUUCAUUGAAUGAGUGCAUCUUAUAAGCGGAUCUAAGUAAAUGUAAAAAGUCUUUGGCAAUCAGAGGAAGACUAUGAUUCCGGAUUUGAAAUGUUGCUGAUUAAGAGCUGUUCAUUAAUGGGACUUCUGAAGGUUAGCUCUGAAAAAAUUCUCCUGUGUCUCCUCAGCAGCAUCUGUUUCUUCAGCAUACUCCUUGGACUCCCUACAAAGCCUGUAUGUGGCCAUGUUUCACAGAGUAUUGCUCAAAAAAAUCAGAAAAAAUAGUUGUGUAGGUUAGGGAAGUGUUUCCUUGGUGCGGGAGACAUGAGCCUAAGUGCACUCUGAGGCCAGAAUGAGGUCAGCCCUUGGAAAUCCAGAGACUUUAGCCAAAGAGAGCUUGAACCCCACAGAAGCGUUUGUGUGUAGGGUCUUCUGCGUUGUCAGUGACCACGGAGGGCCAGAGCCCCCUCCUGCCUUACAGCCAGGACUGUCCCAACGAAGGGCAUGAGACAGAGUUGGAUUAGGCCAGAUCAAACUUAAUUUGGCCUUUUUGAUAUUUGUUUACAAAAUCAUGAUAGCUGUGAUAGCAUUUGGUUAUGUACCUGUUUUUACAUUUUUGUAUCUAAUGACCUACUUUAAGUUACUAUUUAUGGUCUUGAAUCUGCAAUUAAAUCUGCGCAGGCGCAGGGAUGUAGCUAAAUCUAAUUGUAGGAUCAUGGCUGUAAGAGUUUCUUAAAUAGAUAGUAAUGGGACCUCCAUGUGACAGGUGCACCUUGGGAUCAAGCCCAGUUCAAUACCGAAUUUGUAAAUGUAUUUUACUUAAACAUAUGCACUAUGCAAAAUGCUGAUCUCUCUGGCAUGCUAUUAUGUGAAUAGAAGUCCAAAUGAGAUUUUUAGGAUAAUAACUUAAAGGGUAAAUUAUUGUAUUCGUGUUAUUAAACUGAAGCACUUAUAACUUUAUGAGGAAUGACAUUUUGAAUUGAAGAAUACAAUAUUUUCAAAACAUUGACCUGUCAAAUCCUUAUUAAUAUUCAAAUAGUUAUGCAGCCAAAAAGCUGAGAAAACUCCAAAAGCUAUACUUUUUUUUGUAACUUAUAUACUUCCAGCAUGACUGUUUUACUUUGAAUAAGUCAUUGAAAAUGCUGCACAUUGUUCUGCCAACUCUCUGCAUAAUUCGAAAUAUUCUCUGUGUGACCUCUUGAGCAAGGUUUUCUGACCAAAAAUUCUGGGCAGUAACCAAAGACUUGGCAAAUCAACUUCAAUCGCACUUAAAAAUGUGCUGUGUAAAAGGCCUUCAGUCAACAUGCCAAGAAACCUGGGCUGCUUGUCUUUUAGCACUUUCUUGUACUAUUGAAACCUCUUAGAAAUGGAUGUUUGGCAUGUAGAUAAAAUACCUUAAAAAUGCCGAAAGAGGCAUUUUUUCACAUAACAACAACUUUACUAUUUGUAUCUUUUGCUGUAAAAUUCCCUAGAUAUAUUCCAGAACAAUGCAGCAUUUUAUCAUUCAGUAUAUCGCUUCAUAUAUCCGUAGCUAUUUACAAUAUGAUCAAUAUUAAAAUAUUUAUUUCACUAUGCAAUGCUAAGAAAGAAGUAAACAAAACUGUUUGAUCCA